rnacentral:rRNA from 1 species
GGGUGAGUAACACGUGAGUAACCUGCCCUUAACUCUGGGAUAAGCCUGGGAAACUGGGUCUAAUACCGGAUAGGAGCGCCCACCGCAUGGUGGGUGUUGGAAAGAUUUAUCGGUUUUGGAUGGACUCGCGGCCUAUCAGCUUGUUGGUGAGGUAAUGGCUCACCAAGGCGACGACGGGUAGCCGGCCUGAGAGGGUGACCGGCCACACUGGGACUGAGACACGGCCCAGACUCCUACGGGAGGCAGCAGUGGGGAAUAUUGCACAAUGGGCGCAAGCCUGAUGCAGCGACGCCGCGUGAGGGAUGACGGCCUUCGGGUUGUAAACCUCUUUCAGUAGGGAAGAAGCGAAAGUGACGGUACCUGCAGAAGAAGCACCGGCUAACUACGUGCCAGCAGCCGCGGUAAUACGUAGGGUGCGAGCGUUAUCCGGAAUUAUUGGGCGUAAAGAGCUCGUAGGCGGUUUGUCGCGUCUGUCGUGAAAGUCCGGGGCUUAACCCCGGAUCUGCGGUGGGUACGGGCAGACUAGAGUGCAGUAGGGGAGACUGGAAUUCCUGGUGUAGCGGUGGAAUGCGCAGAUAUCAGGAGGAACACCGAUGGCGAAGGCAGGUCUCUGGGCUGUAACUGACGCUGAGGAGCGAAAGCAUGGGGAGCGAACAGGAUUAGAUACCCUGGUAGUCCAUGCCGUAAACGUUGGGCACUAGGUGUGGGGACCAUUCCACGGUUUCCGCGCCGCAGCUAACGCAUUAAGUGCCCCGCCUGGGGAGUACGGCCGCAAGGCUAAAACUCAAAGGAAUUGACGGGGGCCCGCACAAGCGGCGGAGCAUGCGGAUUAAUUCGAUGCAACGCGAAGAACCUUACCAAGGCUUGACAUGUUCUCGAUCGCCGUAGAGAUACGGUUUCCCCUUUGGGGCGGGUUCACAGGUGGUGCAUGGUUGUCGUCAGCUCGUGUCGUGAGAUGUUGGGUUAAGUCCCGCAACGAGCGCAACCCUCGUUCCAUGUUGCCAGCACGUAAUGGUGGGGACUCAUGGGAGACUGCCGGGGUCAACUCGGAGGAAGGUGAGGACGACGUCAAAUCAUCAUGCCCCUUAUGUCUUGGGCUUCACGCAUGCUACAAUGGCCGGUACAAUGGGUUGCGAUACUGUGAGGUGGAGCUAAUCCCAAAAAGCCGGUCUCAGUUCGGAUUGGGGUCUGCAACUCGACCCCAUGAAGUAGGAGUC